rnacentral:rRNA from 1 species
GACGAACGCUGGCGGCGUGCUUAACACAUGCAAGUCGAACGGAGUGGCGAACGGGUGAGUAACACGUGGGUGACCUGCCUUGCACUUCGGGAUAAGCCUGGGAAACUGGGUCUAAUACCGGAUAGUGUGGGAUGGGCGCGGGGCGUAUCAGCUUGGUGGGGGGGUAAUGGCCUACCAAGGCGAGGACGGGUAGCCGGCCUGGUAGGGUGGACGGCCACCAGGGGACUGAGACGCGGCCCAGACGCGUACGGGAGGCAGCAGUGGGGAAUAUUGCGCAAUGAGCGGGAGCCUGAUGCAGCGACGCCGCGGGGGGGAUGACGGCCUUCGGGUGGUAAACUCCUUUCACCAUCGACGCGGUAGAUGGAGAAGAAGCACCGGCUAACUACGUGCCAGCAGCCGCGGUAAUAC